UACAGAGGGUGCAAGCGUUAAUCGGAAUUACUGGGCGUAAAGCGCGUGUAGGUGGCUUGUUAAGUCGAGUGUGAAAUCCCUGGGCUCAACCGAGGAAGUGCAUUCGAAACUAGCUCGCUCGAGGAUGGCAGAGGAAGGUGGAAUUCCAAGUGUAGAGGUGAAAUUCGUAGAUAUUUGGAGGAAUACCGGCGGCGAAGGCGGCCUUCUGGACCAUUCCUGACACUGAGACGCGAAAGCGUGGGGAGCAAACAGG
rnacentral:rRNA from 1 species